ACUCCCUGAAGGAACAGCGACAACUGAGGGAGUGGAAACACAUUUGGGACACGUGAUGCAAAGGUGGAUGCAAAGGUGUUAAAUGAGGUUGAAUAUAUUGACCAGAAAAGAAAAUAUUACAGUCCUUUGUUGAAGAAGAGUUUUCUCAUACUGGAAAGAAAAAAAAUAAAAGAAACAAACUUCAAAAACUUCAUGCUGCUUUCUGAAGUACUCCAGCCAAAGAAAAUAAUGCAGGUAUCAAGUUGGACUAGCUCAGAUGACUACAAAAUGAAUGGGGAUGAAAGUGGACUACUACCUCAUGGCAUGUUUUGAGGAUGAAAUGAGCUAAUAAACACAGUCUUCAGCCCUACAUUAGGAUGGCCUAAGGAAAACAAGAAGACUGAAUGAUAUUCCCUGCUGACUUAUAUAAGUUAUUAGUCUUCUAGAAGGAUCACAGGGAACCAGCAUCAAAGAAAUGGAAUCCAGCUAAUUCCUCCAAGAAACUGAAGUUUUCGGGACAUGACUUGUGAAAGGCAAACAUAAGCUGACAUCUUUUCACACUGAACAGCAAGAGCCAAAGUGUAUCCGAAAAGCCAUUGUCAAAACAAGGAGUGAGAACAGCUGGGGUCAAGACCUAAUGAAGGACAUCACUCAGCCUCUUUGAGCCUCAGAUUCCUCAUUUGUAAAGUGGGCAUAAUAAUACCUCACAGGGUAGUUAUGAGCGUAAAUGAGAUAAUGGACACGAAGGCACCUGUACACUCCACGGUGCUAUCAGAAUAUUGACUAUUAGUGCUUUCAUCACGCGGCUCCAUCCAAACCUCUGCUUUCCCUCACUGCAACAGGCUUUUACUCUGUCACCCAGGCUGGAGUGCAGUGGUGCAAUCUUGGCUCACUGAAACCUCUGCCUCCUGGAUUCAAGCGAUCCUCCCACCUCAGCCUCCCGAGUAGCUGGGACUACAGAAAUUAUUCCUUUGCAGGUGGUGCAAAGGAUCAGCACGGGAGUUUUGACCUGCUCCGUUUCCGACCUGGGUCGGUUCACCCCUCCUUAGGCAACCUGGCGGUUCCCCACUCCAGGGAGGUCACCCUCUUGAUGCUGAAUUUAGCACGGACACCUGAUGGGCACAGUGCACUGCAGCCCAGAGCUCCUGAGCUCAAGCCAUCCUCCUGCCUCAGCCUCCAAGUAGCCAGGACCACAGGCACGCACCCUGAGGAGGAAGAAAUACCAGGCGCGCAUGCUCCGAGAAAAAGCCGUCUGAGGACGCAGCAAGAAGGCCGCCAUCUACAAGCCAAGGAGAGGGGCCUCAGGAGAAAUCGAACCUGUCACACCUUGAUCUUGGAUUUCCAGCCUUCAAAACUGUGAGAAAGUAAGCAGACCGAAGCCCAGAGAGAUGAAGCAAUUUGCCCAGUCACAUACCAAGUUAACUGAAGAGUUGGGAUUAGAAUCCAGCUCUUGUGACUUCUCUCUUUCCAGUUUCCUUCCCACUCCCCCCACUGAAAAGCUUUUGAGUGACUCUUUUAGAAAUCCCGGUUCUGUAUAUGAAGCAGAAUUGAGCACAGCUGCUCUAAUGAAGGGCUCAGAGCUCCCAGGCUUUUCUCUCUCCCCUGCCCCUUUUCCCUGUUGCACCUCUGCAGUGUCCUGAGGGUUGAUGGAAUCUAGUUUGAAAGCUAUUGCUCUACUCCACUGCCUCCUGAAUGCAAUGUCACAAAUUUUCCCAACUUGACAUUUCUCUCACACUGACAUAAAGCAUUAGAAACCUGUUGUGAAGUAGGAAAGCUAACUCGGUCAGUAGCUGAUAAGAUAAGCUGGCCUAGGGGAUAGAUGAUUAGGAUUUCAGAGAAGGAAAGGUCACCCAAGUGAUUUGACUCUGUCCUGGGGUGAUGAUAUAGUGAAGAUUUCUACAGAUGCAGCAGAAACAUCCGGAAACCAGGUGUGUCCCAGCUCUGGUCGGGGACCCAUUUCAUAAAUUGGCAAAUAUCCAGAAUAUACACAUGGCUUAUUCUGAGGUGUACUGAAGUUUCAAUAAAGCUACUUUGGUAAUGACUAGGAGAAGAAAAUCCUAUGGCUGGACUUCGUUAAUGUUGUAUGGCCAAGGACAGUGUUUCUCUAAUUAUGGCCUGUGAACCUCCCUGGAUCUCGAUCACCUGCAUAUUUGGAAAUAUGCAGGUUCCAGGGUCCCACCUGAAACUACAGAAUCAGUAUUGAGAUCCCAGGUGAUUCUCAUGUACACUCAAGUGUAAGAUUAUUAGCACCUGGACUUUGGAAGCAGCCAGAUAAAAGUUUGGAUCCUGGGUUGGCUGCUUCCUAGAUGUGGCCAAGUCAUUUUACUUGCCAUGCUUUUGCUUUUCCUGUCUGUAAAGUGGACAUGAUACCUAUUUUACAGGGUGGUCUUGAGGAAUAAGGUCAGCAUUAAACAUUUAUCCUCUUUAGGGAGACAGAGAGAGGAGAUGAAAUAGAGUAGAAUUGAGAAAAGCAGUUUCUUAGACCUCCCUGUGAAGUUUUUCUUAUUUCAACAAAUAAUAAAAAAUUCAUAUACUUUCUUAGUGCUUGUUUGGACUGAAGA